rnacentral:misc_RNA from 1 species
GAUGAAGAACGUAGCGAAAUGCGAUAAGUAAUGUGAAUUGCAGAAUUCAGUGAAUCAUCGAAUCUUUGAACGCACAUUGCGCCCCCUGGUAUUCCGGGGGGCAUGCCUGUUCGAGCGUCAUUACAACCCUCAAGCUCUGCUUGGUAUUGGGCCCCGCCAGUUCUGGCGGGCCCUAAAGUCAGUGGCGGUGCCUUCGGCUCCGAGCGUAGUAAUUCUUCUCGCUCUGGAGACCCGGUUGUGUGCUUGCCAACAACCCCCAAUUUUUUAAGGUUGACCUCGGAUCAGGUAGGGAUACCCGCUGAACUUAAGCAUAUCAAUAGCGGAGGA